CUAUAGAGGUGAUAAAGAGGGGGGGCCCUCGGCCGAGAUGGGGGGCUAACUUUUUCAAUAAUGACAUCGCACGUGGCAACCUGGGGUUGCAGCCUUGCCUCCCCAAAAUGGGUUACGGCCAAAAAAGUAAAAAGCAACACACUAAAGCGGCGACGCCGCGGCCAUUUUUUUCCUCAAUACUCCGCUCCCGGCACCACUCACUAACUCACUGUCAAACACGUUUUUCCUGUUUCUAGUUCUCCGACGAACCAAAUUGUACCGAUUUCCACCGGAAUUUCACAUCAUGUCGCUGGAAGAAACUGUUUACAAGUCUCCUCUGGAUAAACCGCUCUACCUACUUACCGAUGACGACAUUUCUCAGCUCACUCGUGAAGAUUGCCGACGUUAUCUUAAAGCUAAAGGAAUGAGAAAGCCUUCAUGGAAUAAAUCACAGGCGAUUCAGCAGGUGAUUUCACUGAAGGCGUUGUUAGAGACGACGCCGGACUCCGACACCGGUCAGCGGAAAAGGCGUCACACUUCUCGCCCAGACACCAGUUUACAGCGAGUCCAGAAAGAAACGGGCAUCGAUGCAGAAUUUGCUGAAUCGGCUGAAGAAAUGGUGCCGUACGGUAGAAAACCUCCCAAUAAACCUGAUCUUUCCGGCAAUAAGGCUGCAGGUUCUGUUGCCGUUGUCAAUAACUUAACUCCUUCUAGAACCACAGAUUCGGGAAAUGCAUCAGCAGGUCAAUUGAUAAUCUUCUAUUGUGGCAAGGUGAAUGUGUAUGAUGAUGUACCUGCUGAAAAGGCACAAGCAAUCAUGCAUCUUGCUGCAAGCCCACUCUUUGUGCCUUCAGAAACUCCAUUGGAUGCUACCAGAGCAGCUCAACAUUCCGAAUGCCAUUUGCAAUCUGCAAAUGUUAAAAUGGGUCCAGAUUCUCCUAUGGUGCUCAUGCCAACCAUGCAAACAGGGAGAAUAACUGAAGUGACUCGCCUGCAUUUGGAGGAAAGCAACACUUUCUAUGAGGACAAUUCUGAAGCAGUGAACCACGUAAGCAGAAAAGCAUUACUGGAAAGAUAUCGUGAGAAGCGGAAAGACAGAUGAAAAGGUUCAAGAGAAAGAUGGGAAUGCCUUCAUCUGCUAGCUUGGACAUCUAUUUGAACCAUCGAACCGGAAAUCAUACCCCAAGUGAGCUCUCAAGUAGGAGCAACACUUGUUCCCCGCCUGCUAUUAGAUUAUCUGUUGCACCUGCUCCAAGUGGUUCAAUGGAUAACAUUCUCCAAAUGGAUGCCAAUGCUUCUGGUUUUCUCGACGACAAAGAUGGUAAAGAGUGAAAACUGGGAUGAUGAGGAAAACUCUUGCUUUCUAAUUUGUUUUCAUGCGCCAGAAAGUCUGGAAGGUAACAUCCUGUCCUAGCCCCUGCCUAGUUGAAUGGCGAGGUGUUGGUUGUUCCUUGUGGAUCUGUGUUCAGAAGCACUUUGUAUUUAGGCUGUCAUCAUUCCGCAGGUAAAUGAAGAGAAAAGUAGUCAGGAAUAGUCCUCUUGUCAUGCAAUGUUUUCUGCUUUCAGAAUCUUUUUGAAAGCCACCAGGCCUCCAGAGUCCCACUUUAGUGUAGAAUUUUAGGCAGUUGCGUUUUUCCCUUUUGCUGGAACUGGUUCUCAAGGAGCUUAACGUGGAACCCCUGUUGUAAUUAGUCUCGGCACUUUCCACUCUAACAAGACAGAUUAUUUUGGCUGAAAAGUGGAAGUAGUUGGGUUACCAAGGCA